rnacentral:rRNA from 1 species
GUCGAGCGGACAGAAGGGAGCUUGCUCCCGGAUGUUAGCGGCGGACGGGUGAGUAACACGUGGGUAACCUGCCUGUAAGACUGGGAUAACUCCGGGAAACCGGAGCUAAUACCGGAUAGUUCCUUGAACCGCAUGGUUCAAGGAUGAAAGACGGUUUCGGCUGUCACUUACAGAUGGACCCGCGGCGCAUUAGCUAGUUGGUGGGGUAAUGGCUCACCAAGGCGACGAUGCGUAGCCGACCUGAGAGGGUGAUCGGCCACACUGGGACUGAGACACGGCCCAGACUCCUACGGGAGGCAGCAGUAGGGAAUCUUCCGCAAUGGACGAAAGUCUGACGGAGCAACGCCGCGUGAGUGAUGAAGGUUUUCGGAUCGUAAAGCUCUGUUGUUAGGGAAGAACAAGUGCGAGAGUAACUGCUCGCACCUUGACGGUACCUAACCAGAAAGCCACGGCUAACUACGUGCCAGCAGCCGCGGUAAUACGUAGGUGGCAAGCGUUGUCCGGAAUUAUUGGGCGUAAAGGGCUCGCAGGCGGUUUCUUAAGUCUGAUGUGAAAGCCCCCGGCUCAACCGGGGAGGGUCAUUGGAAACUGGGAAACUUGAGUGCAGAAGAGGAGAGUGGAAUUCCACGUGUAGCGGUGAAAUGCGUAGAGAUGUGGAGGAACACCAGUGGCGAAGGCGACUCUCUGGUCUGUAACUGACGCUGAGGAGCGAAAGCGUGGGGAGCGAACAGGAUUAGAUACCCUGGUAGUCCACGCCGUAAACGAUGAGUGCUAAGUGUUAGGGGGUUUCCGCCCCUUAGUGCUGCAGCUAACGCAUUAAGCACUCCGCCUGGGGAGUACGGUCGCAAGACUGAAACUCAAAGGAAUUGACGGGGGCCCGCACAAGCGGUGGAGCAUGUGGUUUAAUUCGAAGCAACGCGAAGAACCUUACCAGGUCUUGACAUCCUCUGACAACCCUAGAGAUAGGGCUUUCCCUUCGGGGACAGAGUGACAGGUGGUGCAUGGUUGUCGUCAGCUCGUGUCGUGAGAUGUUGGGUUAAGUCCCGCAACGAGCGCAACCCUUGAUCUUAGUUGCCAGCAUUCAGUUGGGCACUCUAAGGUGACUGCCGGUGACAAACCGGAGGAAGGUGGGGAUGACGUCAAAUCAUCAUGCCCCUUAUGACCUGGGCUACACACGUGCUACAAUGGACA